rnacentral:rRNA from 1 species
CAGCCGCCGCGGGAAUACGAAGGGUGCAAGCGUUACUCGGAAUUACUGGGCGUAAAGCGUGUGUAGGUGGUUGUUUAAGUCUGUCGUGAAAGCCCUGGGCUCAACCUGGGAAUUGCGAUGGAUACUGGGCGACUAGAGUGCGGUAGAGGAUAGUGGAAUUUCCGGUGUAGCAGUGAAAUGCGUAGAGAUCGGAAGGAACAUCUGUGGCGAAGGCGACUAUCUGGGCCAACACUGACACUGAGAUACGAAAGCGUGGGGAGCAAACAGGAUUAGAUACCCCCGUAGUCCCUGUCUCUUAUAA